rnacentral:rRNA from 1 species
AUUGAACGCUAGCGGGAUGCCUUACACAUGCAAGUCGAACGGAGUGGCGAACGUGUGAGUAAUGUAUCGGAACGUGCCCAGUAGCGGGGGAUAACUUCGCAAAAGCGUAGCUAAUCCCGCAUACUAUUGGAGCGGCCGAUAUCGGAUUAGCUAGUUGGGGGGGUAACGGCCCACCAGGGCGACGAUCCGUAGCUGGUUUUAGAGGACGACCAGCCACACGGGGACGGAGACACGGACCAGACUCCUACGGGAGGCAGCAGAGGGGAAUGUUGGACAAUGGGGGAGACCAUGAUCCAGCCAUCCCGCGUGUGCGAUGAAGGCCUUCGGGUUGUAAAGCACGUGUGGCAGGAAAGCGGUACCUGCAGAAUAAGCACCGGCUAACUACGUGCCAGCAGCCGCGGUAAUUC